GACGAACGCUGGCGGCGUGCCUAAUACAUGCAAGUCGAACGCUGAAGGAGGAGCUUGCUUCUCCGGAUGAGUUGCGAACGGGUGAGUAACGCGUAGGUAACCUGCCUGGUAGCGGGGGAUAACUAUUGGAAACGAUAGCUAAUACCGCAUAACAGUAGAUGUUGCAUGACAUUUGCUUAAAAGGUGCAAUUGCAUCACUACCAGAUGGACCUGCGUUGUAUUAGCUAGUUGGUGAGGUAACGGCUCACCAAGGCGACGAUACAUAGCCGACCUGAGAGGGUGAUCGGCCACACUGGGACUGAGACACGGCCCAGACUACUACGGGAGGCAGCAGUAGGGAAUCUUCGGCAAUGGACGGAAGUCUGACCGAGCAACGCCGCGUGAGUGAAGAAGGGUGUCGGAUCGUAAAGCUCUGUUGUAAGAGAAGAACGAGUGUGAGAGUGGAAAGUUCACACUGUGACGGUAGCUUACCAGAAAGGGACGGCUAACUACGUG
rnacentral:rRNA from 1 species